rnacentral:rRNA from 1 species
UAUAAACGUAAAUUUAUAGAACCUGGGUAGUAAUAGUUAUGUUCUUGAAACCCAAAGAAUUUGGCGGUAUUUUAGUCCUUUCAGAGGAAUCUGUCCCGUAAUCGACAGUCCACGAGAUAUUUUACUUGUUCUUGUAGUUCAGUUUGUAUACCUCCGUCAUAAGAAGAUCUUUUUAGAGAUAUAAUUUUCUUAAUAUACUAAAUAUAAUAUGUCAGGUCAAGGUGCAAUUUAUGGAUAAGUGGAGAUGGAUUACAAUAAAUUUAUUUAAAUGGAUUAGAUUAUUUAAUUUUUUAUGAAGGUGGAUUUGAUAGUAAUUUUAAUUAUUUAUUAUUAUGAUUUUGGCUCUAAAAUAUGC